GACGAACGCUGGCGGCGUGCUUAACACAUGCAAGUCGAACGGAAAGGCCCUGCUUUUGUGGGGUGCUCGAGUGGCGAACGGGUGAGUAACACGUGAGUAACCUGCCCUUGACUUUGGGAUAACUUCAGGAAACUGGGGCUAAUACCGGAUAGGAGCUCCUGCUGCAUGGUGGGGGUUGGAAAGUUUCGGCGGUUGGGGAUGGACUCGCGGCUUAUCAGCUUGUUGGUGGGGUAGUGGCUUACCAAGGCUUUGACGGGUAGCCGGCCUGAGAGGGUGACCGGCGACAUUGGGACUGAGAUACGGCCCAGACGCCUACGGGAGGCAGCAGUGGGGAAUAUUGCACAAUGGGCGGAAGCCUGAUGCAGCAACGCCGCGUGCGGGAUGACGGCCUUCGGGGUGUAAACCGAUUUCGCCUGUGACGAAGCGUGAGUGACGGUAAUGGGUAAAGAAGCACCGGCUAACUACGUG
rnacentral:rRNA from 1 species